rnacentral:rRNA from 1 species
UACGAGGGGGGCUAGCGUUGCUCGGAAUCACUGGGCGUAAAGCGCACGUAGGCGGACUCUUAAGUCGGUGGUGAAAUCCUGGAGCUCAACUCCAGAACUGCCUUCGAUACUGAGAGUCUCGAGUCCGGGAGAGGUGAGUGGAACUGCGAGUGUAGAGGUGAAAUUCGUAGAUAUUCGCAAGAACACCAGUGGCGAAGGCGGCUCACUGGCCCGGUACUGACGCUGAGGUGCGAAAGCGUGGGGAGCAAACAGG